CAGUAAUUGCAUUCUUUUUCGGCUUAACCGAAUUAACUUGGACGUCUUUUCAUGUGUAUAGGAGCCUAAGUUUUCGCCUAGUAAUUUUCCCUAGGUCGCUCAUCUAUACACUGCAUAGUAUCUGACCAGCUGUCAUAAUACGCACCGCGUGUUCAAGGACCGCUUAUAUUUUUACUUAUGUAUUAACAACAGUAAUUCAGAGAGAACUAAUAAUUGUUCACCCUAUUACAGAUGCAGAUUAGCAAACGUGCCAGGUGACGAUAAUGACGGCAACAUCCAACACACACAUGUAAUUGAGGUUGAACGAUCCGAUGUCUUCGCAUUGGAUUUUUGUAGUUAUAUCAACGCAAUAUUCGCAAGGGAGAACAUAUCAUAAUUCUUAUAUCGCUACACAGAUAUUAAUGUGCCGAAUAAUAUAUCAAGUUAUGAGAAGAAUUCCUUUAUAUACUGCAAUGCAAUACAAGAGAGCGGAGUAAAUGUCCACUACAGGUAUUCUGCAGUCAAUCCUCGCAUAACCAUAACCACACUGCACGUAAUUUAUUAUAUUAUCAAUGCAAUGCACUACAACAACGCAAUGCUAUAAAGGCACUCCGCCAAAACAGCCAAUGACAAUUAUUUGGCAUAAAAUUAAAUGUAUACGCUCCAGUACCUCGCACCAGUGAAAAACACAGACUAGUCAAUAGAAAUAACUACUACCACUGCAACGUAUACACUAUAUCGCGCUCAUCCAUAUGUAAAAUCAGAAUCUGCCAAUGUAAUUACCAAUGAGGAGGCAAGCAGAAUGCAUCCAUAGCAAUGCAAAAAUACAACUGCAAGGCAUAAGUGUAUUAUACCAAUAAUGUGGUGCACUCCGCAGUACAGUGUGUCUGAUUACGACUCAUCAGCCGUUAUAGACAAGAUGUGUCAGUAAAUCACAUAAAUCAACAGUCAAUCAAAAGGGCGGUAGCAACCAUAUCAUUUACAUGAUGCAUUAUUAUAUGUAUCCAUCUAUAGUUUGUAUACUUAUAAAUUCAAUUUCUAACUCAGUUAUUAUCCAAAUAUACUCGUGUCAAUGUGUAUUUGUGCAAAGUUCUAAUAUUAUCAUACCAGUGAGACAAUAGAUACAACUAUUCAGCAGAGCUGUAUAUACGCUUCACGUUAUAUUCUAUUUAAUACAAUAUUAGUAACGUUAAUAAUGUCAUUUAUAAUUAUAUAUCAAUUUAAUGAUACCAGAUUUAGUGGUAUGUUUGGUACAAUAUUCGAAAAUAUUAUGUUGACAUUGCAAAAGUUGCACUCUACAAUACCAUUUGCAAUUACUAUAUACAGAUAAACCAUAUUAAUUUAGUAAUAUUAUGAUACAUAAGUUCAUCUCUAAGCAGCACUUUUAUUCGUAAAGUAAAGCAGAAUGCAUCCAGACAAAAUCAACAAUACAAUCAGAUUCAUUCAUCUAAUUCAGUUACUAUGCUAUUCACUACCCAACUGCGCAUUCAUAAGUAUCUCCAAAUGAUAACGCUUCUAUUUUUAGGUAUUAUACCUCUAAGGCAAUACACUCAGCAGUUCAAUGCACCUAUUUGCAGCACAUCAACCGUGACAAAAUGAAUGUCAGUAGUUUGCGUCAAGCACUCGUGCAACAGAAAAACAACAACCAAAUAUUAUUUAUAUAACUCCAACAUUAUGUAAAGUGUCCAUAUAAUUUAAAUCUUUUAAGAUUCAAUCUUUGCACUUAAUAACUAUAAUUAUAUAUUAGUAUCAAUGUAUAUUCAUACACAGUUCUAAUUUAAGUAUUAUCAUCCGGUGAAGUAAUAAAUACACUGUUCAAAGCAGAUAUACAUGCGUUUCAUGAAUUAUGUCAUAACAUUAAUUAGAGUUAUUUAUAAUUCAUAUUAGUUAGUAUUACUAUAUUAAACAAUAUUAUAUUUAAUAUUGUGUUUCUUUUAGAUAUACACCAUAUAACUAAACUCUCCUCAGUACGGUGCACCCUUGCGCAACUCGCCAAUAGCAACGAGCAAAUGACAUAGCAAUUCACAGGGAACACGAGGCAACAACCAAGUAUCACCUACGUGAUUCAUUCAACACAAGUGCAUCCGUUUCGCUAUUGCGACAUAAAUUAUACAACUCACUUGCUCACAGAUUGAGUCAAAAUCAACUAUUCUGCGUGUGAUACUAUCAGUAAGAUAUACUACCAUAUAGUUGUACACUAAUCAGUACAAUGCAUCCUUGUGCAGCUCCCAACAGUAACAAGCGAGUGUCGCAGUAGUACACAGGGAACAGCGAAGCAACAACAGCCAAGUAUCACCUACGUGAUUUAUUCAACACAAGUGCAUCCGUUUCAUGAAUUAUAUCACAGGGAUCUAUCAUUCAUUAGUUGAAAUAUAAUGAAAGCUUAAGUUAUAUAACCAUUAACGGUUAAAUGUUCAACAAAAUAACUCAAUUAUUAAUUAGCUAGUUAACAGCAACAAUACUAUAAUUUCAAUUUAAAACAACACUAUAUUAAUGAUUUAUGUGCGAUUUACACCAAGUAUAUAUUGCUUACUUGAAAACCUUAAAAUUAAGGGAAUGAUAAAUCACAAAUCGAUUUCCUUCGGCUUAUUUACAAGUUAUUGUAGUCCUCUUUUCUGGGGCAACAAUACUAACAAGGUAGAAUAAUUACAGUCUAUUUAUUCCCAGAUUAUAUCUGCCUUCUAACAUGUAGUACAGCAGUACGGAGUUGCUAUAAAAUUAGCCAGCUUAUUAAGACAUCAAAAAUAACUUGACUAAAUUCUUUAUCAUUAAUUACACUAUUUUCUGUUGUAUCUAAGAAUAAGAGCUCGCUACUGUAACAUGUAUUAUACAACUCACUUUCUCACAGAUAGAAUCAAAUCAACUAUUCUGCAUAUGAUACUAUCAAUAAAUGGAACAGAAUGUAUCUAAACUAAUUGUAAUCAAUUAGGUUCAAACUAAUUCAAAAUUUAAGUACGUAUUCAUAAAUGUUUCAUAAAUGUUUCCAAACUAAACUACAUUCUGUUUAUCUUUUAGGUAUACACCAUAUAACUAUACUCUCAUCAGUGGGGUGCACCCUUGCGCAGCUCGCCAAUAGCAACGAGCAAAUAUCCCAGCAAUUCACGGGGAGCACAGGGCGAUAACAACCAAGUAUCACCUACGUGAUUGAUUCAACACAAGUGCAUCACUCAAACAAGUAUUCACGCGUGGAUGUUAGUUAUGGCAGAAUCAUAAUUGCCUCUCUACUGUUAUUUAGUAAAUUUAAAUGUCUAGUAAUAGAGGCAGUGUAUACGCCUUCUUACUUAAGACAACAAAAUGAUAAUACUUAUUUCCUUAUUGCAAGGAUCUAUCAUUCAUUAAUUGAAAAUGAAUUACAUUGAAUUAAAAUUAAAAUUGAAAUCGAAUAACUAAUAAAGGGAAAAAAACACCAUUUCAUAACCAUCAGAGUUAUAUAUUCAGCAAAUAAAUGAUUAUUAAUUAAUUAAUUAGCAUCAGUGCUAUAACUCAUAAACUAAAGUAACACUAUACUAGACUAUACUAAUGUGGUUGCUAUACUAUUUAAGUUAAUAUAUAAUACUUGAAUAUCUUAUAAUUAGAAGAGUGACAAGUCA